UUACUGUGAUAGUGUGAGCCGGGGUAAGCUUAGUGCUACCUCUUUUCUUUUGUUUGUUAUUUUCUUUGAAUAAGAAGAUUAAGAGUUUCUGAAUAUUGUGAAAGUGAAUUAUAGAAUGGAAGUAUGAUUGUUAUUAAAUGGAAAGAAGAAAGAUUGAAUGCUGAAAUCUGAUUGUAGUUCAGCAGAGAGAAUGAGUCUGUGUUUGUGUGAAACACUGUAAUAUGAAGGCAGUUAAUGGUGAAGAACUCCAG
rnacentral:lncRNA from 1 species